rnacentral:rRNA from 1 species
GCGAACUCUUUCUUCCUUCCUCACACAUGCAAGUCGAACGGAUCCUUCGGGAUUAGUGGCGGACGGGUGAGUAACACGUGGGAACGUGCCCUUUGGUUCGGAACAACUCAGGGAAACUUGAGCUAAUACCGGAUGUGCCCUUCGGGGGAAAGAUUUAUCGCCAUUGGAGCGGCCCGCGUCUGAUUAGCUAGUUGGUGAGGUAACGGCCCACCAAGGCGACGAUCAGUAGCUGGUCUGAGAGGAUGAUCAGCCACACUGGGACUGAGACACGGCCCAGACUCCUACGGGAGGCAGCAGUGGGGAAUCUUGCGCAAUGGGCGAAAGCCUGACGCAGCCAUGCCGCGUGAAUGAUGAAGGUCUUAGGAUUGUAAAAUUCUUUCAGCGGGGACGAUAAUGACGGUACCCGCAGAAGAAGCUCCGGCUAGCUUCGUG